rnacentral:snRNA from 12 species
UAACUUAACCGACGCUGGAGUCAGAGUGAUCAGCAAAGCUCUGAUUCCAGGUGGUGACUCAGUAUUGCACUGCGCUGUGUUGAAGGCUGCGACGAACUCUCGUUGGGUUCGCUUGGAUGCAUAGUUUUUGCUGGUGGGAAGCCUUUGGGCGUCCCUUU